AUUAUUUCAAAAUCUCAAUAGUUUACUUCCAAUUAACAAAAUAAUAAUUUAACGAUUUAUUCUUUAUUAAAUUCUAGAAAUCACACUUUUGAUACUGCAUGACUUUUACAACUGUCAUACUUGCAUAAAUUGCAUGUAAUUUAACCCACAUAAGUAGGCGCCAACAACACGUAAUUGGUUUUUUAAUUAAUAUCAAUAAAAGAGUAAAAACAAAUAGGGUAAAAAAAAGACAAUGAUUUGUAAAUCAAAUUCAUUAAUUCAAAAUUACAAAAUUGCAAUGAGAAAGAUGCAAAAGAAAAUUAACAAAUUACGUUACUUCUAUACAUAUAUGCAAUAAUUAGGC
rnacentral:lncRNA from 1 species